rnacentral:misc_RNA from 1 species
AUUUGAUGCGGUUUACACACCUAGAAAUACACGGUUAUUGCAGGAAGCUACAGAGGUUGGAGCUACAGUGGUGAGUGGGGUUGAGAUGUUUGUCCGGCAGGCACUUGGGCAGUUUAAAUUGUUCACCAAUGGAUUAGCACCAGUAGAUUUUAUGCGGAGGAUUGUAUAUGAGCAAUUUUGAUUCAUUUAGAAGAAAAUCAGGAUGAUAUUUGACAACUCCAUAGAAGACGAGGUUUCUGAAAAAAUUCUUAUGAUUUACAUGGGAUAUAUGUAAAUAAAUUAUGAUUGUAA